UACGAGGGGGGCGAGCGUUGUUCGGAAUUAUUGGGCGUAAAUGGUGCGUAGGCGGUUUGGUAAGUCUUAUGUGAAAUCUACAGGCUCAACUUGUAGUCUGCAUGAGAAACUGCCGGGCUUGAGUAUGGGAGAGGUGAGUGGAAUUCCUGGUGUAGCGGUGAAAUGCGUAGAUAUCAGGAGGAACACCUGUGGCGAAAGCGGCUCACUGGACCAUAACUGACGCUGAUGCACGAAAAGCUAGGGGAGCAAACAGG
rnacentral:rRNA from 1 species